rnacentral:rRNA from 1 species
UACGUAGGGAGCAAGCGUUGUCCGGAUUUACUGGGUGUAAAGGGUGCGUAGGCGGCUUUGCUAGUCAGAAGUGAAAUCCAUGGGCUUAACCCAUGAACUGCUUUUGAAACUGCAGAGCCUGAGUGGAGUAGAGGUAGGCGGAAUUCCCGGUGUAGCGGUGAAAUGCGUAGAGAUCGGGAGGAACACCAGUGGCGAAGGCGGCCUACUGGGCUCUAACUGACGCUGAGGCACGAAAGCGUGGGUAGCAAACAGG